CCUUCGAUAGCUCAGCUGGUAGAGCGGAGGACUGUAGAUCCUUAGGUCGCUGGUUCAACUCUGGCUCAAAGGA
rnacentral:tRNA from 1 species